GCCGCAGUAGCUCAGCUGGUAGAGCGCGUCCAUGGUAAGGACGAGGUAUCGUGUUCGAUUCCCGACUGUGGCUCCA
rnacentral:tRNA from 1 species